GAUCCUGGCUCAGAGUGAACGCUGGCGGCGUGCUUAACACAUGCAAGUCGAACGGUAACAUUCUUCGGAAUGCUGACGAGUGGCGAACGGGUGAGUAAAGUAUAGUUAAUUUGCCUCGGAGAGGGAUAGCCAUUGGAAACGAUGAUUAAUACCUCAUACUCCUUAUAUAGUAAAUAUAAGGGAAACGCUUUAGUGCCAAGAGAUAAGACUAUAUCCUAUCAGUUAGUUGGUAAUAAGAGACUACCAAGACAAUGACGGGUAGCUGGUCUGAGAGGAUGAUCAGCCACACUGACUGAGACACGGUCCAGACUCCUACGGGAGGCAGCAGUGGGGAAUAUUGCACAAUGGAAAACUCUGAUGCAGCAACGCCGCGUGGAGGAUGACGCAUUUCGGUGUGUAAACUCCUUAUAUAGGAAGAUAAUGACGGUACUAUAUGAAUAAGCACCGGCUAACUCCGUGCCAGCACGCGGUAAUACGGAGGGUGCAAGCGUUACUCGGAAUCACUGGGCGUAAAGCGCAUGCACGGGAUAAUAAGUUAGAAGUGAAAGCCUACGGCUCAACCGUAGAACUGCUUCUAAAACUUAACCUAGAGUCUGGGAGGGGAAGAUGGAAUUAGUAGUGUAGGGGUAAAAUCCGUAGAUUACUAGGAAUACCAAAAGCGAAGGCGAUCUUCUGGAACAGUACUGACGCUGAGAUGAAAGCGUGGGGAGCAAACAGGAUUAGAUACCCUGGUAGUCCACGCAGUAAACGAUGAAUUAGUCGUUGGGUCUCUAGUAGAUUCAGUGAUGCAGUUAACACAUUAAACAUUCCGCCGGGAGUACGGUCGCAAGAUUAAAACUCAAAGGAAUAGACGGGGACCCGCACAAGUGGUAGCAUGUGGUUUAAUUCGAAGAUACGCGAAGGACCUUACCUAGCCUUGACAUACUUAAAUUUUCCAGAGAUGGAGAAGUGCCUUCGGGAGCUUAAAUACAGGUGCUGCACGGCUGUUCAGCUCGUGUCGUGAGAUGUUGGGUUAAGUCCCGCAACGAGCGCAACCCUCGUCACUUUACUAACGAUUCGGUCGAGGACUCUAGUGAGACUGCCUUCGUAAGGAGGAGGAAGGUGGACGACGUCAAGUCAUCAUGGCCCUUACGGCUAGGGCAACACACGUGCUACAAUGGUGGACAAUGAGAAGCGAUACCGCGAGGUGGAGCAAAUCUAUAAACCUAAUCUCAGUUCGUUGUAGUCUGCAACUCGACUACAUGAAGCUGGAAUCACUAGUAAUCGUAGAUCAGCUACUACGGUGAAUACGUUCCCGGGUCUUGUACUCACCGCCCGUCACACCAUGGGAGUUGAUCACCCGAAGCGGGGAAGCUAAACUGGCUACCCUCCACGGUGGAAUUAGCGACUGGGG
rnacentral:rRNA from 1 species